rnacentral:rRNA from 1 species
CACGUAGGGGGCGAGCGUUGUUCGGAAUCAUUGGGCGUAAAGAGCUCGUAGGCGGCUCAGUAAGUCGGGUGUGAAACCCCCAGGCUCAACCUGGGGACGCCACCCGAUACUGCUGUGGCUAGAGUCCAGUAGGGGAGUGUGGAAUUCCCGGUGUAGCGGUGAAAUGCGUAGAUAUCUGGAGGAACACCGGUGGCGAAGGCGGCAUCCUGGACCGGCAUUGACGCUGAGGCGCGAAAGCCAGGGGAGCAAACGGG